rnacentral:tmRNA from 1 species
GGGGGCGAAACGGAUUCGACGGGGAUAUUGAAGCUUAUGUUGCAUGUCGAGUUGUCGUCAACUCGUAAACUUGACGCAUUUUAAAUAUAAUCGCAGACGAUUAUAACUACGCACUGGCAGCUUAGUCCUGCUGUGCCGCUCCACCUGUCUCUGCCUGCAUGACAGGAUUUGGGGCGUCGACCUCGCGGGCUGGUCAAGCGCGAGCGCCUGAGGCGCGGUUGAUGAGACUUUAUCAGGCUGGUGACCGAUUAUCCCUGUUUCGGGUGAGACCCGGUCACGAGAUUCAAUCCCGAAACUAAGCAUGUAGACACAUAAGGGGAGAGUUUCCGGACCCGGGUUCAACUCCCGGCGCCUCCACCA